rnacentral:rRNA from 1 species
GACGAACGCUGGCGGCGUGCUUAACACAUGCAAGUCGAGCGGUAAGGCCCUUUCGGGGGUACACGAGCGGCGAACGGGUGAGUAACACGUGGGUGACCUGCCCUUAGCUCUGGGAUAAGCCUGGGAAACUGGGUCUAAUACCGGAUAUGACUCCAUGACGCAUGUUGUGGGGUGGAAAGCCUUGUGCGGCUAGGGAUGGGCCCGCGGCCUAUCAGCUUGUUGGUGGGGUGAUGGCCUACCAAGGCGACGACGGGUAGCCGGCCUGAGAGGGCGACCGGCCACACUGGGACUGAGACACGGCCCAGACUCCUACGGGAGGCAGCAGUGGGGAAUCUUGCGCAAUGGGCGAAAGCCUGACGCAGCGACGCCGCGUGAGGGAUGACGGCCUGGUGUAAC